rnacentral:antisense_RNA from 1 species
AGUUUAUUACUCAUCUAUUCGGUACGACAUUGCUUACAUUGCUUCCAGUAUUGUUUGCCCGCCUCACCGAGAGCGGGCUUUUUUU